ACGGGUGCGCGCGCGUGUGCAAGGCUAGAAAUGAUAUGCAAAUGAGCACCGGCUUUAUAUAGGCCGAAACGGGCCCGGGCCAGAGGAGUAGGCGGCUCAGUGCACGCCUUUUAUAUAGUAUUAUCAAGUGCACUUAUGAUUCAGCAUCCUGAGCCCUGCUGCUACCGGAAUGACUCACCGGAGCCUUUAUAGGAGGGGGAAAGAAAAGCCAAAUAAGAGGAAGUGUAGCUUAAAUCAUGCACAGUUACAGAUGAGGAACAAGGAAAUAAAGAGAAAUUCCCAGACCCAGAGGAAAAUCAAAAGGUGAUCAACAAAAUGUCAGGAAAACACAAUUCAAUACAAAUGAUUUAUUUAUAUGUACACUGUUUGGGUUUUGUUUUAUUUUUGUUUGUUUUUUUGCUUUAGGACAAAAAAAAAGUGGUGUAAAUUUCACACUGCUGUGAACUGAGGUUUUGGCUUUGAGAACUGAAUUCCAAGGGUGUUCGAUUUGCAUUCAACCCACGGAGUUCAGUUCUUAAGCUUGGAUGCUCCAAACAACAUGGAUGGAUACAAAACAGCUGCAGAGAAACCACCAGCAUCGUGUUGCUAAACACACUGAAGGUGAGGAUUCAACUGGUGUUGUGCUGUUCAAGUCUUGGGCAUGUAUAACAUACAGAAUUAUUCACGAAGUCCUGAAGAGGUUUGGGUUAUUAUGCAUUUUCUCAAAUGCUCAGUUACUAUAUAAAUGUCGUAGAUAAAAUAUAUGUAUGCCUAUCAUUUAAUAUUCAUUACGCCUUUGUGUCGGGUAGAGAAGAAUACAACUAGGACAUAGCACAACUAGCACUUACCUCGAUGUAACAUAUAAGACAUACAUAUAACACAUCUCUACACUUUAAAUGUUUAAAUAUUUUUAUUAUUUUUUUUAAAUAGACCAAAUGAAAAGGCCACAAAUGGUGUUUAUUAACCAAAUGAUUGACGAGGGUUAUGACAGAUUUUUUUCAUGAGCAGGGUUUAAUAAUAUGUGAACACUUUUAUAUAAACAAACAUGUCUUUAUCUUUUGCAAUAAAAAAAAAGAAAGCUAAAUGAAGAGACAACUAUAAGCUGCACAUACUUUAUGCAGCUGCGGAUUUUGAAUAUUAAUAAAGGAAAUGGAACUUUCAUGAUGUAUCAGUGCAUGACUAUGACUAAUUGGUAUUUAUGAAACAUUGGUAUUUAUAAAUGAGCAUUAUAUGGUUUUAAUAAGGCCUAGGAAGUAUAUGUAAUGUAUAGGUUACCUUGUCCUGAUUUAUUUGACCGAUUUAUAGUAACUUAUUUACUCAGUGUGUUUAACAUUUUUCUCAGUUUUAUACACUGUAUAGAAUAAGUGUAAUCAUAUUAAUGGUUAAGUAUAGUAAAUUAUUAUUGUUUUUUUUGUUGUUGUUGUUCUUUUUUAAUUGUAAAUAAAGUUGUGUAAGAAAUUUGUCUUCAUCUGAUUUCACACCAUAUAGUGCCACAAAGGGGUCGCACAUGCAGGAUGUUUCAAG
ensembl:lncRNA